rnacentral:rRNA from 1 species
UACGUAGGGGGCUAGCGUUGUCCGGAUUUAUUGGGCGUAAAGAGCGUGUAGGCGGCCAGGUAGGUCCGUUGUGAAAACUCGAGGCUCAACCUCGAGAUGUCGGCGGAAACCAUCUGGCUAGAGUCCGGAAGAGGAGAGUGGAAUUCCUGGUGUAGCGGUGAAAUGCGCAGAUAUCAGGAAGAACACCCGUGGCGAAGGCGGCUCUCUGGGACGGUACUGACGCUGAGACGCGAAAGCGUGGGGAGCAAACAGG